ensembl:lncRNA
GCCUGAAGAUUUUUAGGGCUGGAAGCAGGCAGAUCGAUGCACCCAGUUCCCUUAUUGUAUGAAUGGGGAACCCAGGACCAAGGAUGAAUCUAAAAGGGUGACUUUUACAGAACUUGAUGCUGCCGAGAAGUGACGAAUUGCCAACACGCAGGCAUAUACCCCUGGCUCACCCCCAUCGACUUUGCAACCCCAGCUUCAUCCUGAACUGUGAGCGUCAGCACACCUGCACGUGGACCCCUCAGACUGCAUAUCCAAGCUUCUCUCCAGCAGCAAAUAGCCAUUGCCCAGCCGCCUCUCAGCAUCCCUCAGCGUGUGUUCACCAGCUACGUGGUCAACUUUCAAGGUGGACUGAGGCUGGAG